ensembl:lncRNA
UGUGAAGGCUGCUGGAGGAUAAACCAUGGAAAGCAGAAACUUUCCACGUUCCAUGAGGAGAGAGGCUACACAAGUGCUAAAGUAAUGCAAAGUACUCCUCAGCACCUUCCUCCGCUCGCUGCCACUCAUUAUGGCAGAGCUGACUUUGACAAACGAUGCCACCACAAAGAUCAAAUGGAGUUAUACCAUUUGAAUGCCACUCACUAUUAAAAUGGGGUAGGUGCUUAUAGACAAGUUACACAAGAAAUGUAACAGGACAAGCUGUGGAAGACGGCUACCAGUCGUGCGGGAACUUGGGUGGGACGGUGCUUUGAUAGAACAAAACCACCAGCGUUCCAGAUUUGACCAAACAAAUUACGUCUCCUGCACAGACAGCGACUGCGGGGUACAAAAUAUCUGUCAAUAAGAGCAGCAGGGUACGAAAUAUUUGUUCGUAGAAACUCGCUGCAGCGUAGGGAGCAUAAAGAACACAAUGGAACAUUUGCUGCUCUGUUUGACAACAUUCACGCGACGGAGGACAAAGUUUGCUAAAGCUGUUGUAUAAACAGCCGCGUAUUUACAAUCCAGAUUCAUUUAUUCGUCGUAUGGAAGGAGGCAAAAAGCUGCCGUCGGUAGCCGGGCUUCUUAUUCUUAAUUCUGUCCAACAAAACACGUUCCAGGAGUGGCGGGGAGCGCUGCGCUCCCGCCUGAGGCGGCUGCGCUCCGCCACCAAACGCCCGGCACAACUUUGCCUCAGGCACUUCGCCUGCGGGCGGAUCCCGGCGGGGCGCCGCUCCGAGCGCCGUCCCGCCGCGCGCUCCAGGUGCUGCCCUCAGCCCCCGGCCGGGCCCCGCCGCCCCGCGGAGGCCGCUCGAAGACCCGAGCAACGGUCCCGGAGGGGCGGAGCAGCACCUGAGCCCGCAGGGACGGUUCGAAGCACAGCGAGCGGACUCCGGCUACUCCGCAGAGGCACCGGCUCCCCCGGUCACCGAGGAGACGAGCGCCGGGCUCCGCCACACCGCGCGGCGGCCACUGGCUGCGUGGAGCUGUCACUCAGCGCACUCACCCGGCAGGGGUGGCGGUCGGGUUCCCGGACAGAGAAAGGGGAGAGACAAUACCCAGCGCCGAAGAACUACAGCUCCCGGCGUGCUCCGCGCGCGGCCGGCUCCCUGCGGCCGUACGGAGCGGGCCGCGCGGGGCAUGCCGGGAGUGGUAGUUCUUCCCCCUUCCCGAGCCUCCUUGCCUCCAGAGGAGGAGCACAGUGCGCAGGCGCGGACUGCCGGCGCCCUUUCGAACGGAGCUGAGGCGGUGCUGAGGCGUUCUGCCCAGAGUGGUGUGUCCAAAGUGCAGAACUAUGGAUACGUUAGUUGUAGUUUCCUACCCUACGGGAAGCUGCGCCAUCCAGACAGAACGUGGCACGAGUGACAAGUUCUCAGAAUAGGGAAUUUACUCAUUUCCAUGUCUAUCUCUAGGCAAAGGAAGCCUAACGUGGAACUGAACCUCUCAGUCAAAAGCUGAAGGACAGCACUAAUCUUUCCUUCCAGAAUUUUUCCCCAGAGCUGCACAUAUAUAUCCUACAGCUUGCUGCUGGCUUCUCUGUAAGAAAAACUUAUUGUCUAAAACUGUGGCUUGAUGGUUUCACUUCAGUAUUUCUUUCCUCUAAUUCUUACCUUGUCUAGGAAACUUUCACAGUAUCUCCUGCCCUCGCUGAAACAUUCACUACAUGCUGAGUGGAGGCUUUAGGGGUUAAAAAAUAAAUUUUAAAAACAGGCCA